CUCCUCCCCCGCCGGCGUCCCCAACCUCCUCCCUCUCCGGCGCCGCUGCUCGUUCAGCCCCUCCUCCUCGCGCCACUCCACCGCUCCUCUCCCUCCCUCCUCGUGCCGAGCUGCAGCGACGAGGCCGGGAUCCAGGACCCCUCGCCGGAUCCAUGGCGCGGCGGUGGAGGCCCGCGCGGUCGCGCGAUGGAGGCACGCCAUGGCCGCGGCACCUUCCUCUCUGCGGAGGAGCAGGGGCCCGCCAUGGCCGCGAUGUGCGGCCGUCCUCCCUCUCCCGCCCCCUCCCCCCCUCUCUCUCUCUCUCCCUGCUUCCAUCCUCGCUCGCUCCGCCGGCCUCCCUCCCUCCCCGCGCCGCCGCCGGCCGUGGCUCCCUCCCUCCCCGCGCGGCCGCCGGCCCUAGCUUCGCCCUCCCCGCCACCAACAAGGACAACUGAGGUCGGCGCCGGAGCCGCUCGCGCCGCGUGGGCCCUCAUCCUCCUUUCCCCCUCCUCCUCAGCGCUCCUGCGCAGUGCGAUGCUCGCGCGGCCUCCUCUCCCCACCGGCUCUCUCCUUCCCGCCGCUGCCCCAUCCCCGUGCCGCCGCCUCCCCACGUGAGACGGUGGCGGGCAGCGACGGCGCCACCGGGCUGCGGUGUGGCGCCAACCGCGUGCCCGGGCGGUGUCCGGCACCGGCCGCUGUGCCACGCGAGUGGGCCCCGCUGGUGGCCGCCGACGUUGCUGCCCCCCUCCCAGCGCUGCCUGCUCCCGUAGUACUGACGUGGACACCUCCAGAGCUCACGGAGCCGGCAGUCCCGACAUUCCACCCCGGCGAAGCGAAGGCGGCUGCGACCAAGGCGUUGACGGCGGCGGCAGGUCGGCGGCUCCCGACGGCUCAACAGCCAGGACGCUCAUGGCCGUGACGACCAUAGUUUGGCCGGCGCACAAGGAGGCGGUUGCUCUGUAGCGAUAAGUAUCUUAGCUUCCGCAGCUUCCUUCUUCCCUGACACCUCUCUCUGCCUCAUGUGUUUCCUCAGAUCUAGCCAGCGCGGGCAGGUCGCGCCCGCCGGUGGCGGCGGCGGAGCACCGGGCCGCGCACAUAGGUGGGCGCUGCAAAGCACCGGCCCACGCGCACCGCAGGUGGUUGCGGCUUUGGCUACUAUUGGCGUUCCUUCCGAUCCUCCGAGCUCGCCUCCGUCGCCAACUUCUCAUCGCUGACCUCACCUUCGCCCGGCCGCCCUCGCCGCCUCCUCGCCGACCCUCUCCGUCGCGUGGUCCACCUCCCUGCAGCUCUCCUCCGGCAUCCCGCUCAAGCUGAUUUGUCGGAUCUCCGGUGGGCGCCGCCCUCCGCACCCUCUGCUCGUUGCUAACCGCUAUCUGCUAUGCUCCUCGAUUAGGAGGGGCCAAACUGAUCUAUGGAUUAAUUGCUCCUCUCUCCAGGCCAGGCAUGGUUAGCCUUCUGCGGAAGGAAUCUUAAGGCUGCACCACUAUAUAGGUAAUCCUUGAACAUUUCUUUCAUAUUCCCUUUGUCUAACUUCAAAGUUUAGUCCACCUGUGUACUAAGAUGUGUUAUUGCUGUCAAUUUUCAAGAUUUGGUAUUUGAAUUGUAGUAGUUGUUAAUUUGCUCCCUUUUGACUUCUUGAUCUACCUUGCAUAUACAAGAAAGUGCUGAGAAUGGAUAUGUGCUUGCCAAGCUACUUACAAUUUUCAAAGGUUUUUCCCCCUGCUCUCAUUUCUAGAGUGCCUUUACAUGCAUACAAGCGGCUUCAGGAUCCUCUAAUAGAUUUGCAAGAGCUACUAUUGACUGCCUAGUUGCAAUUAUUACACAUAUUUGAUAAGAUGUCAGGGCCAAGCCUCUUCAACUCCUUUACUUCUGAGUUCUAUCCUUCCCUGGGAAAAAUUUCUUUUGAGAAAUGCAUCUACAUGUUGUGGACUGUUGUUCUAUCACAGGCUCUAAUUGGCUAAAGCAAAUUUCAUAUACGAAAGAGAAGCCCCAGCUCAGACUUGCACAGUAGUUUCUUAUCCAAAGUUUAAAAACAGUAACUUUUGAGUGCAGACUCAUUAUUUUUCAUUUUGGUGCAGGUUCAUAGCAGAUUUUUCUUUGAUAUGGACUAUUUGAAUAUAACUAACCAAAUGCAAUUUGUUGCCUCACUAUCAUUGCCAAUGGAAAAUGAGUUGCCUCUUCCUCCUCGACUCCAAGCCAACUCGAGAUGUCGCGACGGUGGCCUGGGGGGUGUGUUAGGGCAACCACGCAUCAGCAGCAGACAGUCUGUCAUCUAAGCCAAGCUGUCCAUCUAAAGCCAAGCGCAAGUUGCUCGUGUACAAACCAUGUUUGCAGAGACGAGGAGCGGCAUCAAUGAGGGGAAUUAGCUCUGUACAACCUCAUACUAAAAUUGAAAUCUGGAACAAUUGAGAUUUUGCCAGCGGCUAUCAGGAUGUAAUGUCUAUAUCAAGGAGAAACCAAGCCACUCUUUUCAGACUAUCCCAAAACAGCUGCAACUACAGCUCGAUUUUAGAUUAUGUACUUGGUAGUCUCUAGCCUUUUACUAGAGCACCAAAUGUGUUUUGUUGUAAUAUAAAUGUAAUCUACUGUCUAUUAUAAUUCCCUAUAAAUAAUGUAGAAUAUUAAUAUUAUAGCUACCUACUGUGAGUUUUUGUAUCUA